rnacentral:miRNA from 1 species
GGACACAGUCCCUGUCCUCCAGGAGCUCACGGCUUAUGCUCUGUGUUCUGUAUAUAUAACAUUAUGCAGAG